rnacentral:rRNA from 1 species
CAGCACCUCAAGUGGUCAGGAUGAUUAUUGGGCCUAAAGCAUCCGUAGCCGGCGCUGUAAGUUUUCGGUUAAAUCUGUACGCUCAACGUACAGGCUGCCGGGAAUACUGCAAAGCUAGGGAGUGGGAGAGGUAGACGGUACUCGGUAGGAAGGGGUAAAAUCCUUUGAUCUAUUGAUGACCACCUGUGGCGAAGGCGGUCUACCAGAACACGUCCGACGGUGAGGGAUGAAAGCUGGGGGAGCAAACCGGAUUAGAUACCCGAGUAGUCC